GUAACAGUGCUGUGCCUUGCCCAAGUCUCAACGAGACUAUAGUGAAACGAAGGGAGUUAAAUUCCACCACAAUUAGCUGGAACGUGCAUAUUCGGGGGAGCAAUUGCCAAACCUGCUGCACAACUCGCCUGCGGUGGCGUGCAGGCCCUGCAGCAGAAUCCAUGGUUGUGAUGCAGGCUAUGCAGCACCUUUAUGGUGUAUGCCAAUUAUUGAGUCAGAGUUAAUGCAUAUCGAGUGGAUGCAUGCCUGUUGUCCAUUCUAUCAGUGAUACACCCAAAAUGCUGGAGGAUCUCAGCAGGUCAGGCAGCACCUAUGUGAAGAGUAAACAGUCAAUGUUUCAGGCUGAGACCCUUCAUCAGGACUGGAAAUAAAAAGAGAUGAAAUAUCAAACAGGUGUUAUGACUUCUUGCAAGACAGACCUUACUCCUGUGUGGCUGCAUCUCAGUGCAAAGCAAGCUGACGUUUGUGUUGUCCUUUGAUGUCCUCCUCAGGGUCCCCAAAUGCAUGGUGACAAGGGUGUGGAG